GAUGAACGCUGGCGGCGUGCCUAAUACAUGCAAGUCGAGCGAACGGACGAGAAGCUUGCUUCUCUGAUGUUAGCGGCGGACGGGUGAGUAACACGUGGAUAACCUACCUAUAAGACUGGGAUAACUUCGGGAAACCGUAGCUAAUACCGGAUAAUAUUUUGAACCGCAUGGUUCAAAAGUGAAAGACGGUCUUGCUGUCACUUAUAGAUGGAUCCGCGCUGCAUUAGCUAGUUGGUAAGGUAACGGCUUACCAAGGCAACGAUGCAUAGCCGACCUGAGAGGGUGAUCGGCCACACUGGAACUGAGACACAGUCCAGACUCCUACGGGAGGCAGCAGUAGGGAAUCUUCCGCAAUGGGCGAAAGCCUGACGGAGCAACGCCGCGUGAGUGAUGAAGGUCUUCGGAUCGUAAAACUCUGUUAUUAGGGAAGAACAUAUGUGUAAGUAACUGUGCACAUCUUGACGGUACCUAAUCAGAAAGCCACGGCUAACUACGUG
rnacentral:rRNA from 1 species